AUUCGCAAAAAGAAGGGGAGUACCCGUGGCACCUUAGAGACUAGCAGAUUUAUUGGAGCAUGGGCUUUCGUGGGCUGCGGCUCACUUCGUCGGAUGCGUUUGGUGGAAAAAGCAGAGCUCUCCUCUGCUUUUUCCACCGGGUGCAUCCGAUGGGGUGAGCUGUGGCUCGCGGGGGCUUGUGCUCUGGUGGAUUUGUUGGUCUCUGGGGUGCCACAAGUACUCCUUUUCUUUUUAUAUAGACCAACACA